UGUGAGAUUCUUUAGCCCUGGUCCUUGUUCCUACCAAACCCCCUUAACAUUAAUUACUAAUUUAAGAAUUUAAUUUAGAAUAAUUAUAGAAGGUAUAAGGGUUUUAAUCUCUGAGUUAAGAGUUAUGUAUUCCCUAAUUCCCCUUUUCCUUUAACCCUUUAGGCAAAUAACCCUGUUACUUUAUAUAUAUAGUUAGUUAGUUAGUUAGUUAGCUAAUUAGUUACUUAGUUAGUUUUGAAUCCUUCUUUUAACCCAUCUAUUACAUGGUAUUUGUUGCUAGGCAAUUUUUUCCUACCUCUUUCCUAUAUUUCCCACUUUAAUAUCUCUGCCUUGCUGUAAAUAAAAGCUGCCAACAGUCAUUUUGACUUAAGAAGUUAAUUAGUUUUUAUAAAUGGCAACCACAAUAAUUUUUAAAAAUUCUUAUAUUUGUAAAACCCAUUUUUAAUUAUUACAGGAAAGAGGCUGCAGCCAGAGGCUAGGCUAUCAGGAAGUAUUAUGAAGAUUGGAUUUGGCUCUCCCCUGAUUAUAACAGUGAAGGUACUUAGCUCUUUCUUUAUUGUGAAGAUUCAAUUGUAAUCCCCUGUCUAUUUUUAGAUCUUAAUCCCCAAAGUGUAAACCCAGUACUUAAAGUAGAUCUACCCAUUUUAACUACAAAAGGUAUGAACUAACUACAAAAGGUGUGAACUAACCACAAAAAAGGUAUGAACACCCAUUUCAUACAUUAAGUGGGUGGUCUGUGACCCACUGGUGAAAGAGUGGGCAGUCCUGGAGAAAAGCAUUUGCUGUGAUUGGUAGACAUAAAAUUUAGGGGUGGUGACACAAGAGAAAAAGGUCUUUAAACAGUGGAAACAGACACACAGAAAUCAUCAUUCAGUCACUCAGAGUUGGACUAGAAGAGAGUCACUUGGGCUUGGAGUGAAGAGAGUCAUUCCGAGCUAGAGAGAAGACAGACACUCAGACUUGGAGUGAAGACACUUGGCUGUGGAACUGGACCCCUGGAGGAGCUCAUGCAGGAGACCUCAGACUGCUUUCCUUUUACAUGGUCACCGUGGUCUUUGUUAGUGAUUCAUCAAAAUGCUGAUGACUCAUUUUAAAUCCUUCGUGCCUUGGCUAAAAAACGUGGAUAGUUUCCACUAACCAUUUAUUUAUUUGUUUGUUUAUUAAACCCUACCUUCCCUCUUGGAAUCAAUGCUGUGUAUUAUUUCCAAGGUAGAAGAGUGGUAAGGGGGUGAAGUGACUCACCCAGGGUCACACAGCUAGGAA
rnacentral:lncRNA from 1 species